UGGUCCUUUAGAGCCAGAGAUAGAUGUCAAAGUGGAAGAUUUGGUAGCUUCACCGUUGGAUUGGGGCAGUGAGGAGCUACACGACAUUGUCGAUCAAAUGGGUUUUCUUGGAUCAGAACCUUGAUUAUACAGCUCGGGCACAUCUCACUGUGGUCUCAGAGCUGUCUUGCGCGGUUUGAGUUGUGGUAAUUGCUACCACCUCUAUUUACUUGUUGAAUUGUUUCUUUUGUUUUGUAUUAGUUAAUGCGUUCAGUGUGUGGUUUCGUUGUACAUUGUGUGUUUCCUGUUCUGUUGAAUAAAAGACCUCUCAUUUGAUAUGUUUCAGUCUCCAGAUCUUAGAAGCAGACAUGUUUUCAACCUGGAGCUGCAGUUUGAAAAUCUAGCGAGUGUAAAAGAGCCAAGACCUGUUUGUUACACUCCUUUUGGGAAAGGAGUCAAUGGUUCAUGCUUGGUGGGUGUGUUCGCGUGUGCAUAUGUAGCUAGCUUUUACUUUAUAUAUACGGAGAAUGAUAGAAACCUAUAUUAUGAACUAAGGAGAACUAAAUAUUGUAAAUAAUAAAAUUAAUAAAAUUAUGUUAAAGCUUAAAGAAAAAAAUAUUACAAGUGCAGAGUCUGAGAUAUUAUUUUUUGUUUUAAUUCAAAAUAUGUUUCGUAGUGCGACGGUUUGAUGAGUCUUAUAAUACAACUGCAAAAAAAAUUUAAUUUGUGUUAUUCUAUCAGAAGCUGGUGAAAUUAGUUUUGUGUAUGCUUUCAAACUCAAAAAGAAAUUAUCAAAGAGGAAAAAAAAAUAUGAGGGAUUGAUUUAUUUUUCUCUGUGUUCUUUGCUAUACACAAGUGCUCCUAUUUAAAUCGAGAAAGCGAUUAUUCGACUAUUUCUAACUCUACUUGUUGAGUUGUCACAUGAAACCAUGGCUAGAGAACACUGUGACAAGGAUGAGAUUCCACCUAUCAACAUUAAUCAUUUGCAGUUAGAAGUUAUAAUGGCUGAUAUCACCAAACGAAACAUCAGUCUUCGAAAAAGAAAAAAUAUAUUAAAAAGAGAUUUAUAUGCUUUUGAUGAGUUUGGUUGUGUGUAAGAAAGGAAACGAUCUGAAAGACCAGUGGAUAGGCCUAAUAGGAGAGCAAGGUUGCAGCUAGUGUUAUCAUACGUCUUAAGAGUAAUGCACAGCGUGACCAAUUCAAUUAUUCCACAAAGAGCUUGCUACAAAAAAAAAGACAAAACUUGUUAAGAAUAUAAAGAUCAAUUUUUAACAAAUCUGAUUUUUACAGGAAAAGUCACGACCAAAAAGGCUGCUAGACAUGCCUAUUAGGAGGAACAGAGGACAAUCUAGACCAGCCAAAGAAGAAGACAGGCCUUGCUAUAGUCGCUAUGAUCAAAGGAGUUCACAUCACUUCACAAUUACUCCAUAAGAAUUCAUGAAGAAAUCAUUAACCAAGAAUUUUAUGAUAAUUUGAAUAAGAUAGUGAACCAGGGAUUCAAGUUUGAGAAAAACAAGAAAAUGCCAACCCCAUGACAUUCCUCAUAACAUGCAGGAAUAUGUUAUCCAAGAGCUGAAAACAGAGUCAUCUAAAGUGAAAAAAUAACCUGAGAUAAAACAUGAGUGUUCUCUUUUCUCUCCUCUAUUUAAACUUUUUUUCCAUAAUACCAGUGAUGAACUAACUUAUUUAGAACCGGUGCAACCGCGUAGACCUGUAUCCCAUAUCUCAGAAUAACACUCAGAAACAUAACAAAAGAGUUUAACACAAAAUGAAGUGUUGGAGUAGCUGAUCAGCUUGGAGCCAAAUACAAAUACAAAUCCUAAAUCUCUGUCCUCUGGCCUGCAAAAGCAUUGUAUGGAACUUUGUAUGGUUAGUUAUAUAUCUGAAAUGUUUGUUGAUAAGCUCAAAUUUACCAUAAGAGCAACUCUGCAAUUUCAGAGGUCGAUUGAUAUGCUUAAAUUUACUAUAAAAGAAACUCUGCAAUUCCAGACAUCAGUUGCAGAUAGAUAAAUAAACAUAAAUUUUUUUAUAAUUUUAAAAUGUUAUAACUAAAAUUCUAAAAAAUUAUCUAUAUCUCUGCAAUGUUUAAAUUUUAAAAUUGAAAUAAUAUAAGUUAAAAAUAUAUCAAUUUUUUAAUAAUUUAUUCACUAACAGUAUCAUGCUUUAUUUUAUAAAAACUUUUAACCCAGAAUAUUUGUUAUAAUUUUUAAACAUUAAUACAUAUAUAUAUAUAUAUAUAAAUAUACAUAUAUAAAUGAAACAAAAUAUUCUCUUAAAUGUUCUAAUAUAAAUCUAAUUUUAUUGAAAUUAUAACUUUCAUAUGAACUAAAUAAAUAAACGUAAUAUUAUUUUUAAUUAUAUUAUAUUAAUAACUAUUUUAUUUUAUCAUAAUAAUAUGUUUUCAUAUUUUUAUAAUGUUAUAAUGUGUUAAUAUUGGUAAUUUAUUAUUAAAAAAUAACAUUAUUGCAUAAUUAACCAGUCAUAAAUAUUUCGCAAAUACAACAAUUUUAGCCGAUGUACUAAUCAUAAAAAUUGCAUAAGAACACUAGAAACCGCAUUCAUCCACGUCCAUAAACUUCCGCAAUCGCACUCACAUGCGUGCAUUUCAACCAGUCAGGGCAUAUAUAGUUAUAUAUGUUGUUCUUUGGAGUUUGUAUCCUUUUUUUUUUCUAAUUUACAUAAAUAUACACUCUCAAAUACAUAGUGUGGACUUUAAGACCCACAAUUUCAUAAUACCUUUACAGUUAAAAUUCCAAAGUCCAAACUUGAGAUCAUUUCCUCCGUAGAUAGCCAUUUCUUUUUCCCUAUUAAAAAUACUAACAAAUAUUCAAAUAAUCAUCAAUUAUUAUUUCAACUGAAAAAGGAGAGACCCAAAAAGAAAGAGGGAAAAGUGGAAUAAAAAGCAAACUAAAACUAGAAAUAAUAGAAGCUUAGCUUACUCCAGUGGACGGUAAACUCCCCUUGACAUCUACAAGCACUUGCAAGUGCAACGAUGAGUACAUGCUGUACAGCGAUGGGUGGAGAUGCUAAACAAUGACCGAUACUUUAAAAAGAUUUUUAUGAAGUUAAAGUUUAUACAACUUUAAACAUUCAAAAUGUUUAGCCCUUUUUCAAAAAAAAAAAACAUUCAAAAUGUUUAGAUGCAAUGACCUACUACAGUAUAGCCUCUAACUUAAUAUUUGAUAAAUUAAUUAAAAUUACAAUUUCUGAAUAAUUUUUGACCAAUUGUUAUUCUUUUCCAUAAACUCGGCAUUUAUUUUUCUUUUGUGGUUUUGCAACCCAUAUAAACCAAUCUAAGACAUACUCAAGUAUAAUAUUUUUACUGAUAGCGAUAGGAUAGAAAUUUAGAUCACCAACUGAUAAAUAUUGUCAACUACAAUAACAAUUGAUAAAGACAAAUUUUCUUUCUAUUAUCUAAGUGUUUCGGUAGUUCCGCUUUGAUACCAUGAUAUGUUUCCUGAGCUAUGAACUUAAAAUCAAUUGGCGGUAACUGAAAUGGUUCACAUUUUUUAUAUAUAACUUAGAUCCCUUUAAUAUUUCCAAUAUGAGAUUUUAUUUCCAACAAAUUCCAAGUAAACUGUUUUUUAAAUAUAAACUUUUCUUUCUCUUUAUUUUCAUAUACUUUUUAGCUGAGAAUGCGAUAGCUAUUUGUGACAAUGUGUCAUUAUCUGGAAACCAACCCAACAUUUUAAUGAAUGACAUCAUAGUUCCACAAAGAAAGAACUAAUAUUUUUUUCCAGAAUCAAUGUUUAACAUCAUAAUUCUCUUCGGAGAGCAUUUGAGAACUUUCGUUAUGGCGCAUGUAGCGACGUAAUCAUUCGACUUAUUUUCAUAUUAUAAAGUGAUAUAUUUAAUUAUAUACUAGAUUGCAUUAUUAAUAGUUUCCGAAUACAUCCUAAUUAAUAAAGAUAUUGACAAAGAGAACUUUAAAAUUCAAUAUGAAAUAUGUUCAAUUUAAGUUUUGGUUCGAUUUUGAUUCGCUUUUUUGGUAUUUUGGUAUUUCAAUUUAUAAGAAUUAGCUACUAUAUUAAAGCCACAUUUAUGUUGGUUUGGUUCUUUUAUAUACUUUUGGUUUAUUCAGUUUUAUACCAAAAUCAUAGCUAUAUUGAUUUUUUAAACACUUUGUGAAUUUUAGUAUAUAUGAUUAGAAAUUGGAUUUAUUAAAACUUAAAAAUAUUUUCAGUACUCUAAAUUUUAAAGACCCAAAAUAAAAAAGCUAAAAGACUAGGGCUACAAGCCAACAAUAAAAAUAUAUUUCUUUUAAUUUAUUUAAUGAAGAAAAAUAAUUGGUGAAUAAAAAGUUAAUAUUUAAGAUAGUUUCAUAAAAUAAAAAUAAGAAAAAUUUAGUAGGAAGAUAGAUGGGCGAUCCAAGUGAGAUCCAAUAUAGAUCCGUACUUUCUAUUCACUUGUGAGAUUUGGAUGGUUUGGAGAGAAUAAUAUUAUUACAUAACUAAAGUUUAGCAAACAUAUAUGCCAAUAAAAAUAAAUUUUAUUUAAUUUGAUGCGGUUCGUCAUCUUCACCGAGACCAAUGGAAGGGCUUAACGAGACAGGGCCACCGCCGUUUCUGACAAAGACUUACGACAUGGUGGAGGAUCCGGCAACGGACACGGUGGUGUCUUGGAGCAAUGGUCGUAACAGUUUCAUCGUUUGGGAUUCUCACAAAUUCUCCACCACUCUCCUUCCUCGCUUCUUCAAGCAUAGCAAUUUCUCCAGCUUCAUUCGUCAGCUCAACACUUACGUAAGUCUGCCCUCUUCUUCACUAACCUCCUCUGCUUCUUGUUCCUUUUGUUGUUUUCUAAUCUCGACUUUGGAUUUCUUUAGAUCGGUGGUUAGUCCUCAGCUUGAAAGGUUAGUUCUUUGUGCUUUCCGACAACUAAAAUAUCAAAUGGGUUUCUCAAAGUUUGCUCCUUUGUUACAUCAGACCUAUCUUCUGGUUUAAAUGUGACAAAGAAUCUAUAGAAUGAGUAAAGUGCAUGUUUCUUUUUAGUUUAACCGCCUUGUCUUUUGAUCUAGUUCCGGUUCUGCUGUUUCGAAAGUUAGAAAUAGAAUCUUAAGAAACUUGUCCUUGUAUUUGCAGGGAUUCAGAAAGAUCGAUCCGGACAGAUGGGAGUUCGCGAACGAAGGGUUUUUGGCGGGGCAGAAGCAUCUCCUGAAGAGCAUAAAACGAAGGAGAAACAUGGGUUUGCAGACUGUGAAUCAGCAAGGAUCAGGAUCAGGAUCAGGAUCAGGAUCAGGUAUGUCUUGUGUGGAAGUCGGGCAAUACGGUUUCGAAGGGGAGGUAGAGAGACUGAAAAGGGACCAUAGCGUGCUCGUAGCUGAGGUAGUUAGGCUGAGACAGCAGCAACAUAACUCCAAGAGUCAAGUCGCAGAAAUGGAGCAACGUUUGCUAGUUACUGAGAAAAGACAGCAGCAAAUGAUGGCGUUCCUCGCCAAGGCCUUGAACAAUCCAAACUUUGUUCAACAGUUCGCGCUAAUGAGCAAAGAGAAGAAGGGUUUGUUCGGUUCCGAUGUUGGUAGGAAGCGGAGGCUUACUUCUAGUCCAAGCUUGGGGACUAUCGAGGAGAGAGUGUUGCAUGAUCAUAUGGAGUUUGAUAGAAUGAAGGAUGAUAUGGAGACGUUACUUGCUGCAGCCAUAGAUGAUGAGGCGAGUAAGGAUGAACAAUGUUUGGAAGCUAUGAAUGUGAUGAUGGAAGAUGGUCCUUUAGAGCCAGAGAUAGAUGUCAAAGUGGAAGAUUUGGUAGCUUCACCGUUGGAUUGGGGCAGUGAGGACCUACGCGACAUUGUCGAUCAAAUGGGUUUUCUUGGAUCAGAACCUUGAUUAUACAGCUCGGGCACAUCUCACUGUGGUCUCAGAGCUGUCUUGCGCGGUUUGAGUUGUGGUAAUUGCUACCACCUCUAUUUACUUGUUGAAUUGUUUCUUUUGUUUUGUAUUAGUUAAUGCGUUCAGUGUGUGGUUUCGUUGUACAUUGUGUGUUUCCUGUUCUGUUGAAUAAAAGACCUCUCAUUUGAUAUGUUUCAGUCUCCAGAUCUUAGAAGCAGACAUGUUUUCAACCUGGAGCUGCAGUUUGAAAAUCUAGCGAGUGUAAAAGAGCCAAGACCUGUUUGUUACACUCCUUUUGGGAAAGGAGUCAAUGGUUCAUGCUUG
rnacentral:lncRNA from 1 species